rnacentral:tRNA from 1 species
AAGAGAAAGAUGUAAUCAUAAAGGAGCUGCUAACUACCUUUAUUAGAGGUUAAAAUCCACUAUUCUCUUA